GUUUGGAUUUAGAUUUCGGUAAACAAAAAGUUUCUAUCAGAUAACUUCUGCGAAAAAUUCCGAUAAUCUUGACAUUUUUCCUUCGAAUUCGAAAUGUGACUGCAAAAGUGACGCGUUUUAGUCAUUGUGCCGUCAUAAUCAUUGUUACUGUAUGUAUACCAAAUCUUCAAUUACCUCUUCAAAUAAUCAAUACAAGUGGUUUGAAAAUCUGGGUUUUCUUUUUGUCGACGAGAAAUCAUUUCGAAACUCCGAAAAUACUAACAGCAAAAUACGUAGAAAAUCUUUUGCGGGAAUCGUGACAAGAACGUUUUUACUGUGAUUUUCCGCUUGUGAUAUGUAUAUCUAUAAAUUUUCUUUCUUGUAAAAUACAAGUGUCAUUUAUGCCAAACAAAAUCUGUCUACGAAGUUUUCCAUGGGGUAGAGAAGAAGAAAAGAAGGGCAUAAACAAAAUUGUCAACGGUUAUGGUGGUAUUUUAGAACUGAAUGCUGAAAUGACAGAUGAUUAUUUUCCUAUAAUAGAAUAUCUCGGAAUUUAUAUGAGACUUGGAGUAACCGGAAAUAGUAUUGUCACUUUUAUCCAUUUCAAAUUUGAAAUUACGGUCACAGAUUUCCAUUGUAGCACUGUCAAUGUGUAAUUUUCUAACUUGUUCAGUAUGUAGUAAUUUUUCAUUUUCCUUGCACGUUCCACUGUGAUGCUGCAUGCUGCUUGAUGCGUUUUACCGUUUCUACAGCAGUUUUCACUUCAGCCAUUAUUGUAUACCUUAUAACAGUCGAUAGAUACAUACUUGUAGGGUCGACCCCUUCAGCAACAAUUCUCUGUUAAGAUUGGGAAUAUAAUUCAAGCAUCAAUGGUAUCCUCGACUCUUAUUUUUAGUAUACCAUCAACUUUUGUAUACAGCAAACAACACAGGAUAGUCGGACAAAGUAGACAUAUUGGAGAAGUGUGUUCAUCUUCUGAUAGUUUAAAUGAUACAGUCUAUCCUUUAAUCUAUUAUACUACAUUGCUCGUCGGUAGCUGUUUUAUGUAUUUUGUUCUCAUAAUAAUAUACUCAUCAAUUGGGAAACGUGUUUUGCACAUUUACAGAGCAAAAGUAAGAAGACAUAGUUCUGGAUUUUUCAACUCCAAAAAAUUACACUAUCUGAUGAGGAGAAUAGUGAUGGUAGUUCUUCAAAGAAACGAGUGCUCUCUACUAAUAUUUACAGAGUGCACACAAUGCAACCAUAUAGGACUAAUUUAAUUCUGUUCACUAUCACUUUGAUCUGGACUAUAAGAUUUUUUUUCCUUUUUCUUUUACAUUUCGUUGCAAUAUUUUGGAGGAUGUCAGUUAAAAAUUUUAAUGACACUCUUAAGUCAUACCGAACUUGCAAUAUACAAGUUGUCGAUGAAUUAUUUUAUCUCAAGUGAGCUGUUAAUCCAUAUAUCUAGGGACCUUUUGGUUGACAAUCUUUCAUUGAACUAACGGAACUAAAGGAUUUUAUUUCAUGACAUAUUAAUAUUAUGUACUUAACAAGAUAUUGAACUUCUUUCAACUCAUUUCACAAGUGGUACUUAUUACCUUAAAUGAAGCUACAAGCUCUUCCCAGUCUGAAAUACUUGAACAGAAAGUACUUUAGCGACAAGGAUAUAUGUUUAAAUUCCUUUCAUAUGAAACCACUUCUAAUAAAGAGCCAAACGGCUAAACGUUAUCAUAUUAAAACAAAUAAAAAGAAUGCUCAGAAUGGGUAACUACACGGAUCUUAUCAAUAAGGAACUCUCUAUACAAAAAAUAGCAGCCAAAUCAUUUUCAAAUCGCACUCUACCUACUUUAAAAAGAAAGGACACAUUUGGUAAUGAAGUUCCAUAUCGUUUUAUGGCUUCUUCAGAUGAAGUUUGAUACUAGUAUCGUGGAAAAGGAGUGAAGAAUUUUGUACUCAUAUGUCGCUGUAGUAAGCAAAUUAUCCAGAUAUCGAGCUCUGAUUUGAAUAUAUGCAAUGUAUUUGAAUGAAAGCUGGCAUUAGUAUUAAACCAGAUAACAGAUUGGCUUUAUUAACAAGAUUUCCUAUGGCUUGGAGUUAAAACAUAUUUACAAGUUGAUCUGCUCGGCCAGGACCGACCUUUGAUUAAACGAUGACAACGUCGACGUGAUGUAGUGACCUGCAAACUAUUGUAAUAAACACCAAUAUACUACUCACAUUCUGCCUAAACAGUGGAUUUACAAAUACAAUAUCCCUACAUUCACUCUCUAUUUCCUAUCUUAUCUAAACUAUUGCUUAACCAUCCUCUCACACCGUCUCCGAUAAAGCGAUAUAAUAAAUAUCCUGGAAACAGC